rnacentral:rRNA from 1 species
CACGUAGGGCGCAAGCGUUGUCCGGAAUUAUUGGGCGUAAAGAGCGUGUAGGCGGCCAGACAGGUCCGUUGUGAAAACUCGAGGCUCAACCUCGAGAUGUCGAUGGAAACCGUCUGGCUAGAGUCCGGAAGAGGAGUGUGGAAUUCCUGGUGUAGCGGUGAAAUGCGCAGAUAUCAGGAAGAACACCUAUGGCGAAGGCAGCACUCUGGGACGGUACUGACGCUGAGACGCGAAAGCGUGGGGAGCGAACAGG